GACGAACGCUGGCGGCGUGCUUAACACAUGCAAGUCGAACGAAGAGCGAUGGAAGCUUGCUUCUAUCAAUCUUAGUGGCGAACGGGUGAGUAACGCGUAAUCAACCUGCCCUUCAGAGGGGGACAACAGUUGGAAACGACUGCUAAUACCGCAUACGAUCUGACCUCGGCAUCGAGGAUGGAUGAAAGGUGGCCUCUAUUUAUAAGCUAUCACUGAAGGAGGGGAUUGCGUCUGAUUAGCUAGUUGGAGGGGUAACGGCCCACCAAGGCGAUGAUCAGUAGCCGGUCUGAGAGGAUGAACGGCCACAUUGGGACUGAGACACGGCCCAGACUCCUACGGGAGGCAGCAGUGGGGAAUCUUCCGCAAUGGACGAAAGUCUGACGGAGCAACGCCGCGUGAGUGAUGACGGCCUUCGGGUUGUAAAGCUCUGUUAAUCGGGACGAAAGGCCUUCUUGCGAAUAGUUAGAAGGAUGACGGUAC
rnacentral:rRNA from 1 species